UCUACACAAAUCCUGAUGAAGGAAUGAUCCGGUGAUACAAAACUCAAUGUCAUAUACUGGUCAUGCAACCCAAAUUCGAAUUGGUUUCUGGUCCUGGUCAGAGACCACCGUGUUCGCGCCGCGCCGGCGGUCGGCGGUCCAACAAAGAGGCAAAGACACAAGGCUCGCAGGACUCAGCGCCGUGAAACAAUUGCAAAGGAUUUUGUUUCCUAGGUCAAACAAUUAUCAAUCUAUGCUAGCACAGCAGAUGCAGAACAAAUAAGGAAAACAGAAACCCAAAAAAUAAGAUCAGAGGAAUAUGAAAGGAGAGAAUGUACUAUAUU
rnacentral:lncRNA from 1 species